rnacentral:miRNA from 1 species
GAUUUCAGUGGUAUGAAGAGU